rnacentral:rRNA from 1 species
AUUGAACGCUGGCGGCAGGCCUAACACAUGCAAGUCGAGCGGAGCGGCGGACGGGUGAGUAAUGCCUAGGAAGCUGCCUGGUAGUGGGGGAUAAGGUCCGGAAACGGGAGCUAAUAUUGCAUACUAUCAGAAGAGGCUAGGUGGGAUUAGCUAGUUGGUGGGGUAAAGGCAUAACAAGGCGACGAUCCGGAGCUGGUCUGAGAGGAUGAUCAGUCACACUGGAACUGAGACACGGUCCAGACUCCUACGGGAGGCAUCAGUGGGGAAUAUUGCACAAUGGGCGAAAGCCUGAUCCAGCCAUGCCGCUUGUGUGAAGAAGGUCGUCGGAUUGUAAAGCACUUUAAGUUGGGAGGCGUUACCAACAGAAUAAGCACCGGCUAACUUCGUGCCAGCAGCCGCGGUAAUAC